GCUCAGCAGUAGACACAACACUGGUGUGGUAACACUGCUGUUCCAGCUACAAGUACAGAGUACGGCACUGUAUGGGCUGCUGCCGGGAAAGUUAACAUUCCAGCCAGACCCAGUACACUGACUAAUCCAGUGGCCUUCUACGAUGGACUGACUACAUCAGUGGACAAGGGAAGAGCUACUGAUGUCAUCUGCUUGGACUUCUGUAAGGCCUUUGAUACAAUUCUUCAGACUAAAUCGGAGGGAUAUGGUUUUGAUGGAUGGACUGUUAGAUGGACAAAGAAAUGUGGCUGGAUGUCUGUGCCCAGAGUAAUAGUCAUUGUCCAAGAGGAAAUAAGUAAUAAAUAAGUGGUAUUCCUCAAGGGUCCAUGCUGGAACAAAUACUAUUCAGUGAUACUACAUCAAUGAUAGAGAUAGUGAGAUUGAGUGCAUGCUCAGCAAAUUUGCAGAUGACACUAAGCUGAGUGAUGCAGUUGAUAUUCUAGAGGGAAGAGAUGCCAAGGGAUGUCAGUGGGACCCUGACAGACUUGAGGAGUGGGCCUACGGAAAACUCAUGAAGUACAACUAGGCCAAGAGCAAAGUUCUACACCUGGGUCGGGGCAAUCUUCAGUAUCAAUACAGACUAGAUGAUGAAUUUAUUGAGAGCAGUCCUGCAGAGAAGGACUUGGAGAUACUGGUGGAUGAAAAAAUGGGUAUGAACUGGCAAUGUGUGAUUGCAGCCCACAAAACCAACCAUAUCCUCGGCUACAUAAAAAGAAGCGUGGCCAGCAGGUUAACUGAGGUUAUUCUCCUCCUCUGCUCUCUAGUGAUACCUCACCUGUAGUAUUGUUUCCAGAUCUGGGGUCCCAAUCCAAGGACAUGGACCUGCUGGAGUGUGUCCAGAGGAGGGCCACAAAAAUGAUCAGGAGACUGGCACACCUCUCAUGAAGAAAGAUUGAGAAAUUUUGGGUUGUUCAGCCUGCAGAAGAUAGCUUAAAUGAAUUAAAGAUCAAUGAGAAAUUGAAGCAGGGUACUUGGAAACCCAUGUCUUAGGGAAUUCUGCAAGAAGUCCUUGAAGAAUGCAAUUUCCUCUUCAUCUAAUCUCCUUGGUUUGGGAGGUAUUAUCUCUGCUUCCAUACCAAUGUUCUGAGCCUGCCCUUCAUGAAGGACCCUUGUCUGUCCAAAGGUGUCUCCAGUGUUCAGAAGAGUACCUGGAACCUUCCUAUCCAGCAUCCUUCCCAUAGCUGCUGAAUCACAACUUGCUUGACUUGCCCCAAGAUAGUUUCCAGCCAGAAAAUUUUAUCCUCUUUGUACAUACAUGUAUACAAGUCAUGCUCAGAAGAGGGAAAGGAGAGCCAGACCUGGAUAGGUCAGUACUUAGAACACACCUAGAAACUAGAAGACCCAGGAUCAAGUCUGUUCUCUAGUAAGUAGUAGAUGGUUUUUAUACAACUGAAUUGCUUCUACAGAUAAAACUGAACUUUGUCCUUUGGUAUCGGGGGAGUGACAUUGAUGAAAAACAGACUUCCCAGAGAGUAUUUUGGGAAUACCUCACAUCUACCCAAUGUGAGGACUUCCAUGAAUCAUAAAACCACAGAUAAUGGUCCUUUGAGAGGCUAGAUGGUCUAUUCACAUUGCCUUAUCUGGAUCAACUAUACUUUUGUUCUUCCCCUGUCUUGCCUACUUCCAAUGAUGAACAGAAUGGCAAAAUAUUAUAGAACAGAACAUGAUCCACUACUGUUCUUUGGGCAAUUAUAAGACACUGUGUAAUUCAAGAGCAAAGAAACUGUCCCCUUUCUUUGAUUAUAGGCUAGUUCAAAAAGGCAUAUGGUCCAAUAUUACACCAUUGUCAAUGCUGGUAAAUAUUUGGUAUAAUGCUUGAGGAAUUCAUAUUUGGGAAAAAAAUGAUGUGGCACCAGCAUAGGAAAACACUAACUAAGGAUCAUAAAUGAAAGAUAAAUAACAUCACACAGCUGAAAGGAGGAGGCUGUUAUGUCAGAGAUCAAUGUCCAUAUUUACUGUGUAAUUAAUCGUCUGUGGAUCACAGUCAAGAGAACACAAAUGCAUUUCAAAGAAGGCACAUGAGAGUUGCGUGAUUUCUAAGAGUCUCUCCAGUUAAACUCUGGUAAUAUUGAGCACAAAGAUAUGUCAGAUUCUGUCUUAUGAUGCUGGUGAAGACAGAGAUGAAGAGCCUUGGUCUAAAGAUGACAUGGCAUUGUCACUGUAAUGCCACAGCAUAUGCUUUGUUACCAGGAGGAAGAUGGUAUGAACUGAAUAUGACAUUGUCCUAUUUCUGAUGUUGCUGCUUGCUUCUCAGAGAUCAGUACCUUUGUUGAUGUACCUUGAUAUGGUUGUGGGCUGUCAGGGGACAUCAUGGUAGAAUCUUGUAACUAUAACAUAGGAGUCAUAAUAAGAUGUUUCUUUUUUUUUUUUUUUUUUUUUUCUUUCCCCCACUUAACUGUGUUUAUUCAUAUUCCUGAAGUCUGUCUGGCACCUAGUGUAGCCAAGGCUCCAGCUCUGUCAGAAGCUUUUAGAAGCUAAUUCAAUAAAUAUUGGGAUCCUAUCAUGACCCUGAUGUUAAUACUUAAAGGUUGAAGCCCUGGAAUCAAGUAAUAAUGUAAGAAUUUCAACUGCCAUUAAAAAAACUUCUUAUCUUCCUUGCAGAGCACAGCAAAAAAUUUUGUUUUGAUGGAUGCCACUGGCUCAUAAACAUGUGGGCUGAUUCAACUCACUAAACUGGCAAAAAGUAUUCACUUCUUGUUAAUUUUCUGCCAGUUUAAUGAACAGAACAAAUGCUAGAAGUGGUGCAACAGAAGCAGCACAGACUCAAAAGUAGUUUCAGGAGGACAGGACAGAACUGCAUGUAUCAUCAUUAGCAAGCUGUUAGAUCAACUUACAUACCUCAUUUAAAUUCACCAUAGAAACAGCAAGUACAGAAUAGAAAGAGCAUCUGAAAAGUCACUUCAGGCACUUCACAGACUAGGAGAUGACUAGAUAUUUUUCAUAGCUACAGAGAAAUCUGUUACCCGUGAGCUUGUCUAAUCCCUUUUCCUACUCAUACCUCUGGUGUUUGUGGCAUCCUGUGGUCAUGCAUUUCUCAUGCUAUCAAGCCGUGUUUAAACUGCAAGAGCUACUUUUAUUUGUUUAAACCUGCUACACCCUUCUGUUGCCAGACAUGCUGACAGUUUCUGUUGCUUCCCCAUACUAUUUGUGAUUUUAUGGGUGUUUAUUAUCUCCCCUCCCCCCACCUCAUUUCUGGUCACAUUAUUUACACUCUGCACCCUUUGGAAUACACAACCUUUUCUGCCAAGUACUAUAAGAAGAGGAAGCUGCCACGCCACAGUGACAGUCUUUGAGAUAAGAAAGAGACCCUGGGGAAAGAGAUCGCUGCUUUUCUCUGCUAUUCUUAUCAACUCUGCUAUUCAUAUCAAGCACACAAGCACAGUGACCUUCUCCAGCCCACCCUAAACACAGCACCAACAGCAUAACCUCUGCUGUAUUUCCUCCUCCCUUGCCCUGUGCCUCUGCAUCCUCUUUCAUCUUCCUGUUCCAGCCCAUAUGUAGCUUGCCCCACUGCUGGUUCCCUUUAUUCUUCAGGUUGAGUUGGGCUCCCUGACUUUGUUCUUGUCUCCUCUGCCAAUUUUUGGCAAAAGGUUGCCUCUGUUGCCAAACUUUGGCUCAGCACUCCCCCACUCCAGCCCAGAGCCCAGGUCUGCCUUCAGCACUUCUUACAUCCCCACUUGUCCCUUUCUGUCAUUUCUGAUGUUUCCACUGAAUGCACUAAGUCCCCACAAAUAAGAAAGGAAAAAAAUCGCUCCUUCCCCUCAGGACAGCUAGAGCUUCCUUAUUUCUCAUUUCCUUUAGGUCAUGCAUCACAUUUCAUUUUCUGUGAGAAAACUUUCUCUAACUCUACAACACAGCUUUUUUCACCUGUGUAUCUCCUCAGACAGCUGCAGCCCUGUUGCCGCAUCCAUGGUAUUGUCAGCUGCAGCCAUGCCACUUUCCACCACAGUGGGUAGGGUGACUCCCAUGCUGAUCCAGAGGUCUGACACACUGACAUUCCCUGGUUUUCCAGUCACUGUUUCUUCCUCACACUGGAAUCCCCACCUGGAAGCUGGUUCAGAUACAGUAUUGAUAUCUGAACCUUCCGGCUUCUUUGUUCUUUAUUUUUCCUUAGAGCUCAGCAUGUUCCUCAGUAUUUCCCUCACAUCUCCCUUGAUUGCCUCCCAUCAGUCAAGCUGGGUAGUGAGGUCAUUACACUCUGCCUUGUGCUUUCCUUCCAGCAGCAGUUCAUUGUCCAAAUACUGCUGACAUAUUGUGGCACAGGAGACUGAGAAGCGUCCUUCAUAGUCCGUAAUGAGCAUGACUGUGUAGAUUGCAUUAAUCAUAGAAUCAUUUAAGUCGGAAAAGAUCUCUAGGAUCAUCAGGUCCAACCAUUAACCUAGACUGUCAUGUCUACCACUAAACCAUGUCUCUAAGCACCACAUCUACACGUCUUUCAAAUACCUCUUGGGAUGAUGACUCAACUACUUCCCCAGGCAGCCCAUUCCAAUGCCUCACAACCCCUUCAGUGAAGAAAUUUGUCCUAAUAUCCAACCUAAACUGCCCCAGUGCAACUUGAAGCCAUUUCAUCUUGUCCUUUUGCUUGUUGCUUGGGAGAAGAGACUGAAUGCAUGAUGAGGACUCACUAAGGCCUGGGGCACGGGCACAAUAGCCAUCUCUUGGUUUGAAAGGGUGGGUGCUGAUUUCCCAAAACUCAAACCAGAAUGCCAGUACUACCACUAGAAACCUGUCUUCCUCAGAUACCCAUCAACGGCUGCUAAGUAGCCUACCUGGGUGCCAGGAGUGAUCCCGAACAGACCACUGCAGCCAACUGCCAACAACAAGCAGGUGCGAUCCAUACAGAUGACACUGAAGGAUACACCAAGGAGAGAGCCUACGGUGGGGAGACACAUCUUAUUUUCCGGCCCUUCCCUUCUCAUCCUCUCCUGAAUGUUGUCCCCCUCUAUCCAUCCCAACACCCAAACCUCCAUAAUGUUGAGGGCUGAACUGGGAACAAGGGUAGUAAAUGCACACUGUCAGACCCAUCACUCCCUUCUGCCCUAAGAAGAUACCUCCACAGCAUAUCAGAGGUAUGGGGUUUUGAGGAGAUCACUGACCUUGUCCUCCUGGAGACUGUGGUACAGGAGUCUCAGCAUCCCUGGUCAGUUCUACAAAAGUGUUUUCAUCCCUGGGCUCCAGGGGGGGAUUUCAAGAGCUGUGACUUAGCUGCCAUUUCCAAAGCCUAACCUCUGCCACCCCGGGGAAACUCUUGAUAGUGCUGCCAGGGGCCAUAAGGUGAGCUCUGGACCUUUGGGAUAUGCUAGAAUGAUGAAGCAUUUUGGUGAGCCUUCAGUAAGUAUGAGUAUUGCCAGCCAAUUGUUGGGGGUGUCACCCCAGCUCUGCUGUGGGUCCCACUCACUACAUGCAGCCUUCUACACCUGGCAUCCAAAAUGAUGGUGCUGAACUUGGUGGCAGAGAUGGGCCCUUUGACUAGUCCUUGUCCCAGACUGGAUCCCCCAGGCUUCUCCCACCAGUAAAGCACAGGAGCCAACAGGUGGCACGUUGUCAGGGAGCAGAAAGCACACAUUUUUUUAACUUGUUUUUUGUUUUUUUCCUUGUCCUGGGGGAGCAGUUCAGUUCACUAAAUGGUUUUCCUGGUCAUAAGGGCACACCAUGAAAUGUAAAAAAAACAAUAUAAUUAAAUGUCUUACGUGAAACUUUGUACUAACAAGAUAUAUCAUAUCA